AGUAAGGUCAGCUAAUGUUAAGCUUUUGGGCCCAUACCCCAAACAUGCCGGUUAAAUUCCCGCCUUUACUA
rnacentral:tRNA from 1 species